UUAACAUUAUAUCUUUCAAAUUCUAUUUUUGUUAUUCAAUUUCAGAAUUGUCUUUCACUCUCUUCUGCAAAACAUUUCUUAGUCUGUGGCCUUUAAGAACUUGUGUUCAAAUUAUAUUAUAUCUUACUAUGAUACAUGAUUGGUAUUUCAGUAUUAGUUGUAUGAAGAAUAUUUCAAAUGGAAGUCCUCCCACGGCUAUGAAAGUCUCUAAAGAAAGCUCGCAGUCGGUCGAUCAAUCUACAAUUACCUUUGGAAAGGAUGUAGUUCAUUGUCGACAUAUGUGGAGUUGGAAGGAAGACAUUCGAAAGUGUGUCUCACUACUUUCCAUCUUUAAUGGUUAUUGCAAAGGCACAUCAAAUCAAGGUUUAUGGUUUCAAAUUAUUAAGAAGUCGUUGCCUAUUGUAUCUUCUACAUUGAAGUCACAUCUAGUUUAUGCGUUUUGGGUUUUAUUCAUCUUAGCGUCAGAUGAAUGUUUUGCAAUUGUUUAAAGUAUAUUAUUCUUUAUAUUGUGGAAUUGUCUAUUCCUAGUGAUGUUAAUGCUGCUAUACUGUUGAGUUCAUCCUUUUAGAUA